rnacentral:tRNA from 1 species
GCCCCCAUGGUGUAGCGGUUAGCACGCUAGCCUUUCACGCUAGUAGGAGGGGUUCGAGUCCCCUUGGGGGUA